rnacentral:rRNA from 1 species
GGGAUCGCAAGACCUUGCGCGAAUGGAGCGGCCGAUGGCAGAUUAGGUAGUUGGUGAGGUAAAGGCUCACCAAGCCUUCGAUCUGUAGCUGGUCUGAGAGGACGACCAGCCACACUGGGACUGAGACACGGCCCAGACUCCUACGGGAGGCAGCAGUGGGGAAUUUUGGACAAUGGGCGAAAGCCUGAUCCAGCCAUGCCGCGUGCAGGAUGAAGGCCUUCGGGUUGUAAACUGCUUUUGUACGGAACGAAACGGCCUUUUCUAAUAAAGAGGGCUAAUGACGGUACCGUAAGAAUAAGCACCGGCUAACUACGUGCCAGCAGCCGCGGUAAUACGUAGGGUGCAAGCGUUAAUCGGAAUUACUGGGCGUAAAGCGUGCGCAGGCGGUUAUGUAAGACAGUUGUGAAAUCCCCGGGCUCAACCUGGGAACUGCAUCUGUGACUGCAUAGCUNGAGUACGGUAGAGGGGGAUGGAAUUCCGCGUGUAGCAGUGAAAUGCGUAGAUAUGCGNAGGAACACCGAUGGCGAA